rnacentral:rRNA from 1 species
AUUGAACGCUGGCGGCAUGCCUUACACAUGCAAGUCGAACGGUAACAGGUCUUCGGAUGCUGACGAGUGGCGAACGGGUGAGUAAUACAUCGGAACGUGCCUAGUAGUGGGGGAUAACUACUCGAAAGAGUGGCUAAUACCGCAUGAGAUCUACGGAUGAAAGCAGGGGAUCGCAAGACCUUGUGCUACUAGAGCGGCCGAUGGCAGAUUAGGUAGUUGGUGGGAUAAAAGCUUACCAAGCCGACGAUCUGUAGCUGGUCUGAGAGGACGAUCAGCCACACUGGGACUGAGACACGGCCCAGACUCCUACGGGAGGCAGCAGUGGGGAAUGUUGGACAAUGGGCGCAAGCCUGAUCCAGCAAUGCCGCGUGCAGGAUGAAGGCCUUCGGGUCGUAAACUGCUUUUGUACGGAACGAAAAGCCCUGGGUUAAUACCCUGGGGUCAUGACGGUACCGUAAGAAUAAGCACCGGCUAACUACGUGCCAGCCGCCGCGGUAAAAC